AAAGACUGGAUUCCAGCUGACAGCCUGAGAGGAUAUGCCUGUGAUCUCACACUGGAUCCAAACACAGCGAGCAGAGACCUCCGUCUGUCUAAGCACAACAGGAAGGUGACGAACGUGGAAGACGAUCAGUUAC